UAGGGAAUAUUGGACAAUGGGCGCAAGCCUGAUCCAGCCAUGCCGCGUGAGUGAAGAAGGCCCUCGGGUUGUAAAGCUCUUUUGUCCGGAAAGAAAAGCAUCGGGUUAAUACCCCGGUGUUCUGACGGUACCGGAAGAAUAAGCACCGGCUAACUUCGUGCCAGCAGCCGCGGUAAUACGAAGGGUGCAAGCGUUACUCGGAAUUACUGGGCGUAAAGCGUGCGUAGGUGGUUCGUUAAGUCUGAUGUGAAAGCCCUGGGCUCAACCUGGGAAUGGCAUUGGAAACUGGCGGACUGGAGUGCGGUAGAGGGUAGCGGAAUUCCUGGUGUAGCAGUGAAAUGCGUAGAGAUCGGGAGGAACAUCCGUGGCGAAGGCGGCUACCUGGACCAGCACUGACACUGAGGCACGAAAGCGUGGGGAGCAAACA
rnacentral:rRNA from 1 species